UACGUAGGGUCCAAGCGUAUCCGGAAUCACUGGGCGUAAAGCGUGCGUAGGCGGGAAUUAAGUGUGAUGUUAAAUCAUGUGGCUCAACCAUAUUGAUGCAUCGCAUACUGGAUACCUGGAGGAAGGCAGAGGCAAGUGGAACUAGUAGUGUAGCAGUGAAAUGCGUAGAGAUUACUAAGAACACCAAUGGCGAAAGGCAGCUUGCUGGGGCCUUUUCUGACGCUGAGGUACGAAAGCGUGGGGAGCGAACAGG
rnacentral:rRNA from 1 species